rnacentral:rRNA from 1 species
GUCCACGCCUUAAACGAUGGAUACUUGUUGUUGGAGGUAUUGACCCCUUCAGUGACGAAGCUAACGCGUUAAGUAUCCCGCCUGGGGAGUACGGUCGCAAGAUUAAAACUCAAAGAAAUUGACGGGGGCCCGCACAAGCGGUGGAGCAUGUGGUUUAAUUCGAUGCAACGCGAAGAACCUUACCUAGGCUUGACAUGAACUGGAAGAGUGGCAGAGAUGUCCUCGCUCGCAAGAGUCGGUUCACAGGUGCUGCAUGGCUGUCGU